rnacentral:lncRNA from 1 species
GUCCCUCGAUCCAGUCGUCUGGAAAUCAUGUUGAUGACUCCAGCAGUAGGUUGAUCAUUCGCCGCCUCUUCAGUCGGUUGGGAUUGUUGGUCAGGAAGGGGCCGAGCCGGUGGGUCCCUUCGGUACUUUUCAAGAUACCCUCAUCGUAUGAGGGCUCCUAUUUCAUCCUUGAGUUGGAUGCAUUGCUCGGUGGUAUAACCGUGACCCCGAUGGAACUGAC